rnacentral:tRNA from 1 species
CUCUCUACCAAAGGAUAAUAUUAUUCC